GUGGGGAAUUUUGGACAAUGGGCGCAAGCCUGAUCCAGCCAUGCCGCGUGCAGGAUGAAGGCCUUCGGGUUGUAAACUGCUUUUGUACGGAACGAAAAAGCUCUCUCUAAUACAGGGGGUGAAUGACGGUACCGUAAGAAUAAGCACCGGCUAACUACGUGCCAGCAGCCGCGGUAAUACGUAGGGUGCAAGCGUUAAUCGGAAUUACUGGGCGUAAAGCGUGCGCAGGCGGUUAUGUAAGACAGAGGUGAAAUCCCCGGGCUCAACCUGGGAACUGCCGUUGUGACUGCAUAGCUGGAGUGCGGCAGAGGGGGAUGGAAUUCCGCGUGUAGCAGUGAAAUGCGUAGAUAUGCGGAGGAACACCGAUGGCGAAGGCAAUCCCCUGGGCCUGCACUGACGCUCAUGCACGAAAGCGUGGGGAGCAAACAGGAUUAGAAACCCCUGUAGUCC
rnacentral:rRNA from 1 species